rnacentral:rRNA from 1 species
UAAUACGUAGGGGGCAAGCGUUGUCCGGAUUUACUGGGCGUAAAGCGCGUGUAGGCGGAAGCUUAAGCGCGGCCUGAAAGCCCCCGGCUCAACCGGGGAGGGCGGUCGCGAACUGGGCUUCUUGAGAGCGACAGAGGAGCGUGGAAUUCCUGGUGUAGCGGUGAAAUGCGUAGAGAUCAGGAGGAACACCCGUGGCGAAGGCGGCGCUCUGGGUCGGCUCUGACGCUGAGACGCGAAAGCGUGGGGAGCGAACGGGAUUAGAUACCCCGGUAGUCCACGCCGUAAACGGUGGUCACCAGGUGUGUGCGGUGUCGACCCCGCACGUGCCGCAGCUAACGCAUGAAGUGACCCGCCUGGGGAGUACGGCCGCAAGGUU